UGCAUAGAAUACAAAAAGGGUAAAAAAAACACCCCCCCUAAGAAAAAAGAAAAACAUUAUUUCAAAACAGCGGUUUCUCACUUGUGGGCUUAAUGGGAUCAGGAGCCAAAAACAGAAAAAUGUUCAUUAUAUCAUGCUACUUACCGGAUGUCCCUGACUCUGUAUGUCAUUUGCUAUAACUGUGUUCGGUGUAAGCAAAUCACAAAAUCUAUACGUGACCAUGCUCUAC
rnacentral:lncRNA from 1 species